rnacentral:rRNA from 1 species
GCGAAAUUCCUUGUCGGGUAAGUUCCGACCCGCACGAAAGGCGUAACGAUCUGGGAACUGUCUCAACAAUAGACUCGGUGAAAUUGUAGUACCGGUAAAGAUGCCGGUUACCCGCAGCAGGACGGAAAGACCCCAUGGAGCUUUACUGUAGCUUGAUAUUGAAUUUCGGCGUUGCAUGUACAGGAUAGGUGGGAGACUAUGAGAUGAGUACGCCAGUAUUCAUGGAGUCACUGUUGGGAUACCACCCUUGUAACGUUGAGGUUCUAACGGUGUGCCGUAAACCGGCAUCCGGACAGUGUCAGGUGGGCAGUUUGACUGGGGCGGUCGCCUCCUAAAGAGUAACGGAGGCGCCCAAAGGUUCCCUCAGCGCGGACGGAAAUCGCGCGAAGAGUGUAAAGGCAGAAGGGAGCUUGACUGCGAGACCAACAAGUCGAGCAGGGACGAAAGUCGGGCUUAGUGAUCCGGUGGUUCCGAGUGGAAGGGCCAUCGCUCAACGGAUAAAAGCUACCCCGGGGAUAACAGGCUGAUACCCCCCAAGAGUUCACAUCGACGGGGGUGUUUGGCACCUCGAUGUCGGCUCGUCUCAUCCUGGGGCUGAAGUAGGUCCCAAGGGUUGGGCUGUUCGCCCAUUAAAGAGGUACGCGAGCUGGGUUCAGAACGUCGUGAGACAGUUCGGUCCCUAUCCGCUGUGGGCGUUGGAAAUUUGAGUGGAGCUGUCCUUAGUACGAGAGGACCGGGAUGGACAUACCUCUGGUGCACCGGUUGUACUGCCAAGUGCAUAGCCGGGUAGCUAAGUAUGGACGGGAUAAGCGCUGAAAGCAUCUAAGUGCGAAGCCCCCCACAAGAAGAGAUUUCCUCCGCAAGGUAAGACUCGUGGGAGACUACCACGUAGAUAGGCCUCAGGUGAAAGUGCAGUAAUGUAUGAAGCUGAGAGGUACUAAUCGGUCGAGAACUUGACCAG